rnacentral:lncRNA from 1 species
CUAGAAAGGAAUUGCAGACCCAAAGGGUAUGGAUAUUUUCUAGACUUUUGCUAUAUAUAGCAAAAUUGCAACAAAAAUUCAUAAGAUUUGAGAACUGUAUUAAUUUCAUUGAGCUAAACUAGUGUUUACAUGUUAUCUGCUAGCAUUUUUCAUUUAGAAGAUAAAAAUAUGAAAUAUAAAAGUCAAUGAAUUAUUUUCAUGCUACUAAUGACAUUUUACCAUCUUUUCUAGAUACGAGGACAAAUGUAUCAGAUGAUUGUAUAUUUGAAUACUUCAGAAGACAAUUCCCUAAUAAAGCUUUGGAUACAACGUAGUGGGAGAGGGGGCCUAAAUAACCACAGCAGAGCUCAGUGUACAGUUUGGAGAAAAGAAUUUGGUAUUGGGCAUCACGAAGGAGACUGAAUCUCACAAGUCUAAGGUGAGACAAGCAAGUACUUCAAAAUCCAUUGAAAGUUUUUUCACCUCCCCAAAAGACACCAAUGCUCAGUUAAAAAUAAUAGCUGGUGGACUCGUUUGGGCAUACCACAUGAAUGAACAUUCAUUAUCAUACAAUUCCCUUGGUUGCUUGAUGAAACUGAGUAAAAUUACAUUUCAUGAUUCAGAAGUUUCCACUAAAAUGUCCUGUGGAUCAACCAAAGGGGAAAUUUUGGUGACAGAUGUGUUAGCCUCUUAUAAUGUAAAGUUCAUUUUGUCAGAUCUUACCAAUGAUAAUGUUUUCUACAGUGUAUCACAUGAUACACUGAAUCAAAAAAAUUCCCUCUAGCACUUAGGUGCUUUAAUUUGAAAAAUGAGGUCUCAAAUAUUGAUUUCUUUGAUUUUUAUGAAACCACAAAAGAAAAUGUAAAACCAAAUAUUGUUAAUAUGUUGUCCAAAUACAAAUUGGACUUUGCUCAUCUAUCUGCAUUUUUGGCAGACAGUGAAAAUGUAAAUUUUGGAAAAUUUCAUUCAGUCUAUAAACUUCUUACCAAAGAAAAUAAAAAAUCUUACCUGCAAAUGUCUUGCACACCUUGUACUAAAACAGAGGGUGUGAUUUGCCAUCUGUGAUGAAAGUUUUUGCUCACUUUUUAGUUUCCUCAAAACAUGCAGAAGCACUUAAUGAGAUUUUUGGCUUCAUAGAAAUGGAAGAAGGUAGCCUCCUUAGACUUGAGCCUACAAGAUGGCUAUCAUUGUUGCUGGCCAGUAGAAAAGACUUUAAAAUGUUGGUCUGCCAUUAAAUCACAUUUUCAACCUGUGGGAUAAGAAGAACGUCCUCCUCUAAUUUGGAAAUAGUUUGAAGAUGAGAAUAGAGGAAAAGACUACAGUAAAAUAAUUUAUAUACGGUUUCUGUAAAACUGUUGCAUGAUCUUUGAAGAGGCCAUAAGGAGCAUAGAAAAGGAUGAAUUAACUGCACCUGAGUUGUUCAAUAUUAUUUGUAGCUUUUAACAAAAACUCAUACAGUGAAAAAAAUGAUAUUUUGGGGUAAAUAAGACUGACUCAGAACUCAAAAAUAUGUCACCAGAAAGGGGUAACUAAGUAAAACAGUGCUAAAACCUGUAAUUUAUUUGAAGUCUACCUUCAGUUUAGGUUCAAACUAUCUCUGUGCUUUAAAAACAUUUUCCCUGAGAAAGAGAAGUUUAACUUAUGAUGAAAUCCAAUGUGCUUUAGAAUGUCUAAAAACAAUUGACAUUUUAAAUACGGUGACCUUACAUAAUGAAUUUAAAGAGGCAGAAGGUCUGAAAGCCCAAACACUAGUCUACUAAAACCAGUCUAUAGAUACAAAGUGGAAGGACAUUUUUGGAGAGCCGGAAACUAAUUCAUUACAAGUCUAGAAAUCUGCUGUUCUUAAUAAGUAAAGUCGUAUUCCAUGCUCAAACUCAUCUGUUGACAGCAUACCUAACUUGAUGUCAUUGCAUUGGACUGCCACCAGGAAUCAGUGUAAUGUGAGCUUGAGAAGAGGAGACCUGCAAGUCAAAGAGAACUUGAUCUUGAAUGUGUUUGGUUUUACGACUACAUAAAAUAAAAGAAGGAUAUCCUAAAGGCUGGCAAGCAGUUCAGAGGAGUAUUACUGGAAAAGGAAACACAAAGAGCAAAAAUAUCCUACUUUAUCAUGAGACAUAAACAUUCAUUGUUAAUUUUAAUUAAAUAUAGGUAAUAGGUAUUUAUCAGCCCCAUUGUAUUUACAUUCAACUUUUAAAAGGUCUUAUAUUUAUGUGUCUUAGGAAUACGUAAUAGGGGCUGGCCCCAUGGCUGAGUGGUUAAGUUUGUGGGCUCUGCUUCGGCUACCUAGGGUUCACCAGUUCAGAUCCUUGGCAUGGACCUACAUACUGUUCAUCAAGCUGUGCUGUGGUGGCAUCCCACAUAGAAGAACUGGAAUGACUUAUAAAUAGGAUAAUCAACUAUGUGCUAGGGCUUUGGGGAGGAAAAAAAAAAGAGGAAGAUUGGCAGCAGAUGUUAGCUCAGGGCCAAUCUUAUUCACCAAACAACAACAACAACAAAAACAUAACAAUAUGGUGUAUAAAAUUUAAAUAUCCAAUAAAAAGUUAAAAUCUGUAUCGGGGAAA